UACGUAUGGAGCAAGCGUUAUCCGGAUUUACUGGGUGUAAAGGGAGCGUAGACGGCAUGGCAAGUCUGAUGUGAAAACCCUGGGCUCAACCCGGGGACUGCAUUGGAAACUGUUAAGCUAGAGUGCAGGAGAGGUAAGUGGAAUUCCUAGUGUAGCGGUGAAAUGCGUAGAUAUUAGGAGGAACACCAGUGGCGAAGGCGGCUUACUGGACUGUAACUGACGUUGAGGCUCGAAAGCGUGGGGAGCAAACAGG
rnacentral:rRNA from 1 species